rnacentral:rRNA from 1 species
CCUACGGGGGGCAGCAGUGAGGAAUAUUGGUCAAUGGGCAAGAGCCUGAACCAGCCAAGUCGCGUGAAGGAUGACGGCCCUACGGGUUGUAAACUUCUUUUGUCAGGGAACAAUUGAGUCCACGUGUGGUCUUAGCGAGAGUACCUGAAGAAAAAGCAUCGGCUAACUCCGUGCCAGCAGCCGCGGUAAUACGAAGGAUGCGAGCGUUAUCCGGAUUUAAUGGGUUUAAAGGGUGCGUAGGCGGAAUAUCAAGGCAGCGGUAAAAAUUCGGGGCUCAACCCCGUCGUGCCGUUGAAACUGAUGUUCUUGAGUGGGCGAGAAGUAUGCGGAAUGCGUGGUGUAGCGGUGAAAUGCAUAGAUAUCACGCAGAACCCCGAUUGCGAAGGCAGCAUACCGGCGCCCUACUGACGCUGAGGCACGAAAGUGCGGGUAUCGAACAGGAUUAGAUACCCGGGUAGUC